rnacentral:rRNA from 1 species
CCUACGGGGGGCAGCAGUGGGGAAUAUUGGGCAAUGGUCGCAAGCCUGACCCAGCAACGCCGCGUGCAGGAAGAAGGCCCUCGGGUUGUAAACUUCUUUUAUUCGGGACGAAACAAAUGACGGUACCGAAUGAAUAAGCCACGGCUAACUACGUGCCAGCAGCCGCGGUAAUACGUAGGUGGCAAGCGUUAUCCGGAUUUACUGGGUGUAAAGGGCGUGUAGGCGGCAGGGAAAGUCAGACGUGAAAUUCCAGGGCUCAACCCUGGAACUGCGUUUGAAACUGUUCUUCUUGAGUGAUGGAGAGGCAGGCGGAAUUCCGGGUGUAGCGGUGAAAUGCGUAGAUAUACGGAGGAACACCAGUGGCGAAGGCGGCUUGCUGGACGGUAACUGACGUUGAGGCUCGAAAGCGCGGGGAGCAAACAGGAUUAGAUACCCCUGUAGUC